rnacentral:piRNA from 1 species
UGAAAGUUAAAGUGAGUCAUGAAGUUUGAA